AAAUUUUUUAAAUUAAAACUGAGAAUGGGUUUUUUUUGCUUAAAAAAAAAAAAAAAGCCAUUCUCAGUAUUAAUUUAAAAAAUCUGAUACAUGAUGAAAACACAUAUGAUCUUACCAAAAAUCAUCCCCCCGCCAUUGAAGCAGGGAUGCCUCUAUAACUCGCAUUCCUAACAUACCCUUCUCUGUAUUAACAAACACUACUUUCCACUGACUUAUUGUUUCAAGGGAGCAAAUUUCUCCCCAGUCCCCACCAAACAAUGAUAUAUGCUCUCCUUAUUUUUCAAAUAAUGCACGCAGGGACUUUACUUCUUCAAGAAGAUACAGACGAAAGCAAAUUGCCUGAAUGAUAAAAAGAGAGUAUACAAAACUCGCACCUCAGGGGAAACUAAAGCCCCCGCACUAGAAAACCUACAAGAUAAGUUUUACUGUCAAGACUGCACGGCUAGCCUCUGAAGAUGUUCAAAGAAGACUUGAAGGCUCACAUCAUCUGUGAAUAUCACAUCUGACCCACCAGCCAUAUCAUGGGCAUUAUUGUAAGUAGCUGAUGGAUUCAACUUUGCCAACAAGAAUCUUGCCUGAGAUCCAUGCUGAUCACAGAC
rnacentral:misc_RNA from 1 species